CCUACGGGUGGCAGCAGUAGGGAAUAUUGCUCAAUGGGGGAAACCCUGAAGCAGCAACGCCGCGUGGAGGAUGAAGGUUUUCGGAGUGUAAACUCCUUUUGGUAGAGAAGAAAAUGACGGUAUGUAACGAAUAAGCACCGGCUAACUCCGUGCCAGCAGCCGCGGUAAUACGGAGGGUGCACGCGUUACUCGGAAUGACUGGGCGUAAAGAGCGCGUAGGCGGGAUAGCCAGUCAGAUGUUAAAUCCUAUGGCUUAACCCUAGACCUGCAGUUGAAACUGUUAUUCUAGAGUAUGGGAGAGGUAGGUGGAAUUCUUGGUGUAGCGGUCAAAUCCGUAGAGAUCACGCGGAAUUCUCAUUGCGAAGGCGACCUGCUAGAGCAUACCUGACGCUGAUGCGCGAAAGCGUGGGUAGCAAACAGGAUUAGAUACCCCUGUAGUC
rnacentral:rRNA from 1 species